rnacentral:rRNA from 1 species
GAUGAACGCUGGCGGUGUGUCUAAUACAUGCAAGUCGAGCGAACGGACGAGAAGCUCGCUUCUCUGAUGUUGGCGACGGAUGGGCGAGUAACACGAAGAUAACCCUCAUAUAACACUGGGAUAAACCCGGGAAACCGCACCUAAUCCUGGUUCAUAUUUCGAACGGCAUGGUCCAAAGGCGCACCACGGUCUUCCGUUAUCUAUUAGAUGGAUCCGCGUUGCAUUAGCUAGUAGGUAAGGUAACGGCUUACCAAGGCAACGAUACUUAGCCGACCUGAGAGGGUGAUCGGCCACACUGGAACUGAGACACGGACCAGCUUCCUAAGGAAGGCAUGGGUAGAGAAUUUUGCACAAUAGGCGAAAGCCUGAGCAAGCAACACCGCGUGGGUGAUGAAGGUCUUCGGAUGGUAAAACUCUGUUAUUGUGGAAGAACAUAUGUGUAUGUAUCCUCGCAUAUCUUGACGUUACCAAAUCAGUAGGCAACUGCUAACUGCGUG